rnacentral:rRNA from 1 species
GGAUUAGAUACCCUGGUAGUCCACACCGUAAACGAUGAGUGCUAGGUGUCGGGGUUUUUUACUUCGGUGCUGUAGCUAACGCAUUAAGCACUCCGCCUGGGGAGUACGAUCGCAAGAUUAAAACUCAAAGGAAUUGACGGGGACCCGCACAAGCGGUGGAGCAUGCGGUUUAAUUCGAUGAUACGCGAAGAACCUUACCAAUCCUUGACAUACUUAUCGCAGAUUUUGGAGACAAGAUCUUUCAGUUCGGCUGGAUAAUGUACAGGUGUUGCAUGGCUGUCGUCAGCUCGUGCCG